rnacentral:lncRNA from 1 species
AUUAUCUACUAUAUGGUCAGAAGAUUCUGAAGGCAUGAAGACAUACUUCUCUGGGCCCUGGGAGGCUUCUGACAGGAGGAGUCACAUGCCUAGGAAGUAUCCUAACAGUGCCAAGAAUCAUGAAAGAGGCAAGGAAUACAGACACGGAUAAGAUCAAGUUUUCCCACUGAGAUGCUCAAUCUAGAAGGAUGGAAGAGCUGAGAGAAGGAGUUACAUUAUAAUCUGCUCACUUCCCAUCUGAAAGCCUGUGCAAAAUGCUAGGGGUGAGAAGAAGACAUAAAAGCAGCCCAGGGAUGCUGUACGGAGAGAGACACUUGAGCUGAGUCCUCCUAUCUGAGAAGAUAUCAGAUGGUUGCGUGGAGGAAAAGUACUUUUCAGGCAGAGAGAGGUGCUAGCACAGCCAUAGGAGCCUUGAAGAGAUGAGGGAACAGCUUGGAUGCCUAGAACCUGAAAGAGACAUGGCAGGAAGUGUGGGAACCAAGAGCAGCAAGAGAUGAUGCAGCAUGAAGGCCCCCCUCAGAUGCUGGUGCAAUGAUCUUGGACUUCCCAACCUCCAGAACCAUGAGCCAAACAAAUUUCUAUUGUUUAUAAAUUACCCCGUCUCAAGUAUUCUGUUAUAGCAACACAACUGGACUAAGACAGAGGGUUACACGUAUCUUUCACAGGAAUUCCUUGGGGCUUAAUACAAAUCCUUGAGAGUUCUAGCCCAGAUGCAGCCUAGAAAUGUGAAGAUGAAGGAGGUAGGUAGUAGGGUUGUUAUUAAUCCUAGGGGAAACCCUCCACUAUGGGAUUCUGAAAUCAGCAGAUAAAUGCUGCAGCCCCCAGACUUGUGAAGAAAUUUUUGAGAUUCAUCUUCUCUGGUUCUUCAGCACAUCACCAAGGCAUGGACCUGCAGUUGGCUCCAGCUAUAACUAGCUCAAUGAUGCAUCCUUCACUGUUUUUCUUUCUUUCCCCAUUUUUCUCUGUAUGUUUCCUUACUUUAGCUUCCUGGGAUCAACUCCCAAAUAAGCUACCUGAAGCCAACUGUUUGCCCAAUACACUUUCUUCAGGAAACCCAGUCUGAGACAUAAGAAAACAAAUCAAAUGCUAAUUCAGUGGUUCAGUUGGUAAAAAUAACAGAGACUCAGCCUAGUUGGCACUAGUGGAGAUAAAGAAAAGAGGACAACUUUGUUAUGCAUUUUAUAGACAGUCAUGAGGCAUGCAAAUUGGUGUAAUGUAUGCAGAAAAAGAAAGGGAAAUUUUCAGUGUGAUACUACAGUUAGUCCACUGUAUACCUAGAAUUGUCUUUUUCAGAGAAAGAUGGUGGCCUUUGGAAAAGGUACAGAUUUGGGAGGAAGAUCGUUAAUUCAAUUUGGGCAUGUUAUGUCCAAACUACAUUAAAUACUUGAGAACUAUUUCUUUAAUAAUGGAUGAGUGAAGUCAGUUCAUUUCCAAGCUUCUUAUUUGUCUUAUCUGUGAAAGAAAAAUUGUGAUGUCUAGUACCCAGAUAUGUAAAAAGUAAAUGUAAUCUACCACAUUAAAGCUCAAAAUGCUCGAUGUUUUUGCAAAUAUAAAAUAAUGUGACUUACUUUAAAGAUAAUAAAUUAAAUAUUAAACAUG